AUUGGACUGUACCAGUAGAUGUUUCUUUCAUUAAUGAUUUAAAUUGAACCUGCUCACUUUGUACACAUAAACUCCAGGCACUCUCUCAUACACACAGAGACUGCCUAUAAAUGUUUUCAGUUUCAGUUUGAGAUCCAUGACUCGAGCUGUAUCACUGUAUUUAUUUCCCUUUGGCUUCUGAGUUGUCUUUCCCUUGUCUCUUGUUAUGUAUCUAUUUAUAGACACGACCACUUUCGUUAAUGUAUUUUUUUCCCUUCUAAGUCAGUAAUUGUAUUUCUUCUUGUUUUCUCUUGGACAUUUAUUUCUCAUAAUGAAAUCAAAUUGUUUUUAAAUAAAACACAAACUAGUCAUAU